AACUUGCUCAGGCAAUUCUCUCUGCGUAGGAGAGCUCUUUUUCUUGUUCUGAAAAUUCUUUGUGUUUGUUUGAGUUCCAAAGCAAAAGUCUAUGCGAACAUGGAAAGCGUGUUCGAUAUUUUCACUGUGGUUAGCGACAAAGCAUUGCAAAGCAUACUCAUGGGCGGCUUCACUUGCGUUGUGGGCGGCUUGCCCUGGUAUGCCGAUCAACGAGACCUGGAUGGAUUCAUCCGGUUUGGAGAUAUCACCAGCGCCAAGGUAAAUACACAAGAUUCAUAGCCCGUUUUGCUCUUCUUUUCGCAAUUAAUUAGAUCAUGCGUGACGAGAAAAACUUCCCAAUCGGCUAGAAGACUAAAGAAAGAAGGAGCAACAAAUCCCCCCAAAAUCCACUUACAUUCCAGAAAUGCAGGCGCCACGGCUGCCGCCGCUAGAAUUUGCCAUGGAUUCGACGAGAUGGACGUUAGCGCUGCCGGAUCUGAUCCAUGUUUCCCCUACCUUUAGCAGCGCAAGGCCAUUGAGAAGAUGAACGGCAAGCCCUUGCCGGACACGGGCUAUGAUAGACGUGUUUGAAGCGAAGCCAGGGAGGGACUCUUGGAGCUGGGACACGCGAGAGUGCGAGAGGUGUGGACUGCCCGGCCACUGCAAUAAGGGUUGCAGCUCCAUUCCCCCUACCGAUCCAAAGCAUGUCUUUGCGGGAGAGCUCAAGACCCACCCGAGGUUAAGCUGACCGGUGAGGACUGGCCAUCACCCAGAGAGAAUGGCGGCAGGCGAGGAGAACGUAUUGGAACAUGACGGUGGAUCCAGGAGAGCGUUUUGGAGGCCUUUGAUCGCUAUGGCCCCUGGGAGUUCUUCCACGAUCCUAUGGACAGAGCUGAUGGCUCUUUGCGUCCAGUCCCCAGGAUUAUCAGACCGUAAGAGUAAGGGACUGGGACGUUUCUUUUCUAGUAAAUAAAGGGUUCACAAAAUUUAGAGAUCA